CCUGACUGCUAUCGGAUUGAUACUAAGCCAUGCGAGUCAUUGUAGUAAUACAAGGCAGACGGCUCAGUAACGCGUAGUCAACCUACCCUAUGGACGGGAAUAACCUCGGGAAACUGAGUAUAAUGCCCGAUAGAACACUAUACCUGGAAUGGUUUGUGUUCCAAAUGAUUUAUCGCCGUAGGAUGGGACUGCGGCCUAUCAGUUUGUUGGUGAGGUAAUGGCCCACCAAGACUAUUACAGGUACGGGCUCUGAGAGGAGUAGCCCGGAGAUGGGUACUGAGACACGGACCCAGGCCCUAUGGGGCGCAGCAGGCGAGAAAACUUUGCAAUGUGCGAAAGCACGACAAGGUUAAUCCGAGUGGUUUGUGCUAAACGAACCUUUUGACAGUCCUAGAAACACUGUUGAAUAAGGGGUGGGCAAGUUCUGGUGUCAGCCGCCGCGGUAAAACCAGCACCUCAAGUGGUCAGGAUGAUUAUUGGGCCUAAAGCAUCCGUAGCCGGCUCUGUAAGUUUUCGGUUAAAUCUGUACGCUCAACGUACAGGCUGCCGGGAAUACUGCAGAGCUAGGGAGUGGGAGAGGUAGACGGUACUCGGUAGGAAGGGGUAAAAUCCUUUGAUCUAUUGAUGACCACCUGUGGCGAAGGCGGUCUACCAGAACACGUCCGACGGUGAGGGAUGAAAGCUGGGGGAGCAAACCGGAUUAGAUACCCGGGUAGUCCCAGCUGUAAACUAUGCAAACUCAGUGAUGCAUUGGCUUGUGGCCAAUGCAGUGCUGCAGGGAAGCCGUUAAGUUUGCCGCCUGGGAAGUACGUACGCAAGUAUGAAACUUAAAGGAAUUGGCGGGGGAGCACCACAAGGGGUGAAGCCUGCGGUUC
rnacentral:rRNA from 1 species